ACGGGUGAGUAACACGUGGGUAAUCUGCCCUGCACUCUGGGAUAAGCCUGGGAAACUGGGUCUAAUACUAAGGAUAUGACCUUUCUCCUUAUGGGGUUUGGUGGAAAGUUUUUCGGUGUAGGAUGAGCCCGCGGCCUAUCAGCUUGUUGGUGGGGUGAUGGCCUACCAAGGCGACGACGGGUAGCCGGCCUGAGAGGGUGAUCGGCCACAUUGGGACUGAGAUACGGCCCAG
rnacentral:rRNA from 1 species